UUCCAUCUCAUGGGAUUUUUUUCCUUUUUCUUUUUCUUUUUUUCCUUUUUCUUUUCCCUCCCCUCCCCUUGCUCCCAAAGGAGUAGCAUGAGUAGAGGGGAGCAACCAGCAACCCUCUCUCCCUCCUUUGCUGUCUUCCCUCCUUGGGAGAAGUGCAGAGCAGAUUGCAGAGCAGAUUGAACUUGCUGAGACCGCCCUCCAGGAGCAAACACUUUGUAAAGUUCCAUCUGCCCUCUGGCUGCUGUGCAGGAUAGAGUUAUUCUGAAGUCCAAGCUGCCUGGGCCUGGAUCCACUGCUGCCCUCUGACCACAGUGCAGUUAAAGACACCUGUUCACUGCCUUCUGGUUUUUCUGCUUUUUGCUUGGUUUGUUUUUUUGUAAAUUUGCAUGUUCUCUGGUUAUAACUGGGCCCCACAGCCCUACACUCUGAUGCUUGGCCACAGCCACUGCAGCGCUCUUUCCUGUGAAAGCAGAAGUGCCCCGAGCCUGGGCCAUGUGGCAUUUAUUCCAUAAAUAUUCACUUGCUUAUUGGUUCUUUUAGUGAGUAUUUAUUUAACACCGACUGUGUGCCAGACACUUUCAGGGGCUGAGGACACAGCACUGAACAAGACUCCACACCUUUCCUCGUGGAGAUUAUCUCGUGGAGCCAGACAACAAAGGAAGUAAAAUACGUCACAUGUCAGAUGGUGAUCUUACUCAGAACUUCCUGGCUUCAGCAAGACUGGCCUGUGACGUGAGUGAAGAGAAAUGGAUGAGACGCUCCCUGAUAGAAACAAGGCUCUCUGGACACGGUCUCUCCAGUUGGACUGAGCCACACGGGGUUUUGAGUAUGCUUUUUAUCUCACCAUGAAAGAUGUUUGAGAAAUGCUGAGCAAGGCUGGCCAUUGCAUUUGCAGCAUAUCAGGGGCUGGUUACGACAGACGCUGGGUAGGAGAAAGAUAUGCGGACCUGGACACCAUCAGUGAUCCUCUCUAGCCUGCAGAUAGGGAAUAGAACACUAUUUUACUACUCGAAGUAUGUCCAUGGACCAGGAGCUGGAAGAAGUGUAGACUCUCAGACCCCACCCUGGAUCUGCUGAAGCAGCUUUUGCCCUUUUGACAAUUCCCAGCUCUGAAAACCUUUAUUAGGUCUUUCCUUCCCUUUGGCUGUUGAAACAUGACUCCUGGGGGCCGGUGGGAAAAAGAGUUGAAGGUGGGACUGUCCUCUCAUUAGCUGUCCAGGAGGAUGAAUAAAAAAAUAGAAGUUCCUGGCUUUUCCACUGAGUCAGCAAGAAUGCUUUUGAUUGUAAGUAGCAGAAGACCCAACUUAAAGUGACUUAACCAGUAAUUUAAUUUUCUCACAUAGUAUUAGAAUUGGUUAAUUGGGCUCCAGGUCCUCUUUUUCAUACCUCUUGGCUUUUCCCUCAUGGGCACAAAAUGGCUGCAGCAGCAACAAGCAUCGUGUCAUCACAUGAAAAUGUCCAAAGGCAGAAAGGAUAGUUCCUUUCCAUAAGCCUCUUUUUAUUAGGAAGGAACCAUUUCUCUGGGGUCUCCAGCAGAUUUCCUCCUAUAGGCUAGUUCUGUGUUACAUCCCUGAGCCUGUGGCUGCUCAGGGAUGUAAGCAGCAUUUGCCAUGCUGUCAGCAAAGGAGAGGGUGGUGGGAGUGCACCGAGGAGGCAGUCAUUGUCUGCCUCAUCUUUUCUGGCCAACCGACUUGACAAAGAUCUGAUUGGAAAGGAAGAUACGGGUGGUAUUUUGUUCACCUGUGUAUAUGUAGGGAGUGCUCCCUCUUCAUGAUUAUAAUCCAUUACCCUUGAUUUCCAAGGGCCUUUGGAAGGGAUAACGACUGGUAAAGGUGAAGUUGAGCCUGUGGAUUGUGUGGUGUAAGAGCAAGGGGCUGAGGCCCAUGCAGAGAGAGCAGAUGGGGGAGGACCAGGUGGAGGCUGGGAGUGAGGCUGAGGCUAACGGGAGGAUAAGGGCUGCAGGCUGGGCAGGUAGUGGUAGGUGGGACUUCUGGCCCAAGAUGCUCUGAUAUAUGGUGUGCUGGACCCUUGGUGAGCAUCAGGGCAAUUUGUGAUACAUUCCGGUGAUAGCUUGCAGCUCCAGUGACAUUUUAGAUAUCUGUAGGAUGUUGCAUCUCAGAGAAUUAACCAGAAGGUAUGUAAUUCUCUUUAUUCUCGGACUUACUGCCUAGGGGUGGAUGGUCCAGGUACCAAUAACAAGCUCCUGACUUCUGAAGUUGGAUUUGCUCUCUUGGGAUUAAGGAUCAGUAGAAUGGAUGCCAUUUUAGUUUAUAAACCUCUUUUGGUAGCCCUGUAGCAUGCAACUAAUUUGUUCAUGUAAUUUGCUCAAGUUUAGUCAAGUUUUGGAGUCUAUGUCCUUAUAUGGGUUAAUAGGUAAGUGCUUUAAUGAGAGCCCAAGCAUUUAGGAAUGAAGGGUUGGAAGAAUUCAAUGAGAUGUGCAGGCAAGGCUGCCUAGCAUAUUUCCUGGCAUACAAUGGGCACUCAAUAAAUAUUGCCUUCCUUCCCUCGUCUGGCUUCCUUCCUAAUUACUAUUUCCCCCAAUUCUCAGUAAAACCAUCUCACCAUCAUUUUCGGAGCAUUUCCCAGCCUUACCCCAACAACAGGAAGAGUAGAACCAGUAUUCCAAAAUAAAGUCACGAGAGAUGGAAAGAAGGGAAUGAUUUUUUAUCAUGCACUGAACGUCUGCAAUACAUACGCUAGGGAUUCUAAGUUUCGUUUAGGUUGACUGAUAACGGGCCUAGAGAGGGAGAAGAUCCAGAAUGCUUGGAGAAGGAUUAGCCCUACAGAUUCAACUUCGGAAUUCCCAGGAUAUACACAGAGCUCACUGGAACAUCUGACUAGUGCAGAGGUGAAAAUUAAGGGCAUCACGCUGAUGUCAGGCGACGGGAGGCAGGUGAAGGACAGCCGGACGGGAAGGGCUGCAGAGACUUGGGCGAGCGAGCCUCCCUCAGCAGGUCAGCGACAGACCUGCUCGCCAAAGGUCUGUUUGGAACCACAAGCCCAAUUAAUUUCCUGCUUCUCAUCCCUGGCAGACCUGGCCACCGCCCAAAACGCGAGCCCUCUGGACAGACACGCUUCCUUGCUUGUCCUCAUUCCCAUGCUGUUUUGUGCAUUUUUCGCCCCUGAUCCAUCCUCCCACUGUGGUGCCUUCUGCCAGCCCUGCCAGCCUGCACUCUGCCAGCCCCGUCCAGCGGUACACGCCCCGCCCCCUCUCACACUUGUUUGUCACGGAAUGUUCCCUCCCGCUUCCUCACCUUAACUGAAGCCCAGCUCUGGCCCAAGGACAGGGGUUUCCCAGAGAGCAGGUUCUUUCUCCCCCAAAGACCAAAGAGUUGCUGGGGAGACCCCCCCCCCGCCGCCCGCUUUGCUUUGAGGCUCUUGCAGCCUGGCUUCCCCCCCUCCUCCUGAACUGCUCAGGUGCCUAUCAAACUCUUGAAAUGUUCUAUAAGUGUAAGGGUUUCUCAGUCUGGGUAAAAAAGAAUACACAAUGUUUCAAUAUUUUCACAUGGAUUACAUAUUGCAAUGGGAUAGCACUUGGGGUAUAUUGGGUACAACGAAUUAUCAGCAUUAAUUUCACCACUUUUUGUUUCUUCAGUGUGGCUACUGGAAAAUUCUAAAGGCCACAGAUGUCUCCUAUUUGUUGUAUCUCCUACUUCUCUAUUCCUAUUGACUAGCACUGCUCUGUGACCAUCAAGACCUGUGUGGAUCUCAGACUCUGGGCUCUAAAUCUUCUUUCAGCUCCGAUACAGGCUCAGGCUGCUUUUUAAUUAAAAAUACUUAAACUGCUUUUUUUUACAUAUUACAAAGUAAAACAUUUCCAUUAUAAAAUAUUAGAAAAUGCACAUUAUAAAACAUGAACAAAAAAGAACAGAAGCCCAUACAUAUGUAUAAAAGGACAUACUACUUUUUGGUAAUUUUUUUACACUUUCCAGAUGUGUUAUAAACAUCUCCCCGUGUCCUUACAUAUUCUUCUAUGAGAAUUUUAAAAAAAUGGUUGCCUAGUAUUUUCUUGUAAGGGUAUACCAUAAAUUAUUUUGCCAGUGUUUGUUGAUUGAGCAGUAUUUUUGAACUUUUCUAUUGUAAAUGUAGCAGAAUGACUGCUAAGAGGGAACUUAAAGUGGUUUGGGGAGAGUCACCCUUUUUUCUAGCUUCAAAGGAGCAAGUCAGUCACAGAGGAGCCCACCCGCUUAUUUCUCAUCACGCAUUGUCACAUAAUUUUUAGACAUAGAGUAUUCUGGGACAACCCAGAAGCGAGUGCUAUAAACCAAAGGAAACUGUUUCAGACUCAGGGUAAGUACUUCUAAAUUGGAUAACUACUAUCUCCUUUGGAGAUGGACUUUCAGGGGGUGAGAGUCUGGGUCUUUUCGUAGUGAGGUCAGCCCCUCUGCGCCCCCCGUGGAUCACUGCUGGGAGCCCAGCCCCCCUCCAUGGGCUUGAAGUCCUGGUGGCUGAGGAGGGAGACAGGUCUCAGCUCAGGGAGCCAGAUGAGGGAGAGAGCAGAUGUCCAGCCAACAGAUGUCCAGCAGGGAUUGUGGAGCAUGUGGACUGUCCUUAGAGAACCCCAGGGACACUUGGGGGCCACUCCAAAGCAGGCACUGUGGUCCUGCUGCUACCCAGAGAGAGACAGUCACCACUGACUCUCUGGACUAAAAAUGGCUGAGAUUUCAGCAGUGCUCGUCUGCUCCCAUCAGAGGCUGAAGUCAAGUCACUCGGGGAAACUCUCAAAGCUAAAGCUAUUCCUAAGCCGAAAGGGUGUCAAUGAUUUAACUAUACACGUAUCCAUGAAGACACAUAAUGUAACCACAAUUAAAUCAGAAUUUCCAGAGUCCGUAUUUCCAAUUCCAGAACUGUGUAAGAAGGGGUGUGCCUGGUUGUCUUCAGUGGAGACUUUCUAGGGUUCACAGUGUUUACUGCUGAAGUUCCAAGGCAGGUGAAAGCAGGAGUCAGACUGCCUGGGUUUGAAUCCAGAUCCACUGCUGGUGACUGUGGACAUGUUACUUAAUCUCUCUUAACUUCUUCCUGUGUUCAUCGUUGCCUUGUCGCGUUUGUACUCGUGGGGCCCCCACCUGGAACGCUCUCCAUCUCCACGUGGCUGACUCCACAUCAUCCGUGUCUCAGCUCAAUGGCCCCUCUUCAAGCAGCCUCCUCUGAAGACCCAAUCUCUUCAGCUCGCCUGGCAUUUCGAAUUGCAUCCUCUUGUUUUAUUUUCUCUGCAGUUCAUUUAUUUGAUUUCACAUCAUGGUCUGUCUCUCUGUGCGGGGUGUAAUCUCCUGAGGGCCGGCAGCUUUCGUGUCUUGUUCAACACCAACCCUCCAUGUCCAGAACUGAACCUGACACACGCUAGGGACUCAAGAAGUAUUGGUAGGAUCAGUGAAAGAAAGAUGGAGCGAAUGGUCUUGAUAAUGACCAUAUUCAAAGAAAGAUCAAGCCCACCCAGAGUUAAAAAGUGCCUUGAUGGAAGAAAGCACUUUGGUUUGAGCAACGAACAAUGGAAUUUGGAAUCAACAGGCUCUGAGGGCCUGCCCAUCUCUGAGUCAAUUUUCUUUAUCCUGAAAGAUCCUGGUUUGAAGGGCAUUUUCCCCGGAUGCAUGGAGUCCUAAAAAACUCAAAGGGGGUGACAGUUCGAGGAACAUAAAAGAACAAUGAUGAGCUUAGACGAGCAAGGCAAGGGCAGACUGUGGCGAAAACAAUUACUGAUGCGCCCUGUACAGCACAUGGAGGAAAAGGUUGCUACUCCUUCCUCGCCUGUGUCUGAAGCCAUGUACCUUGUGAGUCACUUGUGAAACGCUGCUCUCUCUCAGGAGCUUCCAGUCCUCUGCCUCCUGAUGCAGUCAGGCCUUUCCCUCUGAAAUUCAAUUAAAUCAGCCCUAAUGAGUGGCUAGGCAGAAAGGGAGCUCUUGUUUACAGAACACAAGGAAUAAUAACGAGCCAACAUCAAUUAGGACUGUGACUGCAAAUCCGAAACAUUGAUUCUGCACCUCAACAGUGAGCAAAUUUCUGCUUUCAGACACCAAGUCUCGCAGGCUUGAGAAAGACAGAGCCUCGUGGGCUGUCUCUACGGCCGUGAUGUUCCAGAGAAAUCCCACUAAAAUUUUCCUUUGUCCUCCUGGCCUGUGGCAGUUCUGCCCAUCCCCCUUGACUGUUUUUCUGGCUGUUGCUCCUAUUGAGUUUUCUGAAUAAACACAGGCCACCAAGUUUUAACCGCAAUGAUAAAAUACUUAGCAAAAAAAAAAAAAAAAAAAAAA